UUUACUCAACUCAAAUGAGUGUGACAAAAAAUAUAUUUCUAUUUAGGAGCAAAGUAAUGGCAGGUUUGAGUUUGGAUGCAUUCAAUGAACUGUUGGUGUAUUUAACGAAGGCUUUUAAAGAGAUUAACCUACUGAUUGUCCUUCAGAGCUGAGGGAAAAUUGUAGCAUUCUGGCCAACUGAUUGCUGCAUCUCCAGAAAUUAGCAAAGCGGGAAAGAAAAAGGACAACUGGAGUUCCUGUUAGAGUAGGAAACUGUGCGUGUGUGUGUGUGUGUUAUUUAAAAGGCACGCAGACCUGUUUUACUAUGCUACUAAAACAAGACUAGAGCUUGUGGCUUCGAAUAUUAUGGGACUCAUUAAACAUCAAAUCCCAUUAAAGCCAUGUCUCUCCUGACAGCCUACAAUGUUACUUGAACACAGAACCUCAAGAGCCUUUCAAAACAAAGUCUUUUGUACAACCAAGAUCAUUUAUAUGCAGAACAUCUAACAUUAUAUAAUACACACACACUCUCGCGCGCGCACACAUACAGAGCAGCUGCACUUCAAGCACAGUUCAGCUACUGGGCGAGCACAGAUGCUGUUCUUACAUCUGUUAACAUUAAAUUAUGAUUGAUUUUCUUUGCCGGUUUGUCUUCUCUUUUUUUCCCUUUUCUUUUCUUUUUUUGGAGCAGAGGCUUGAAUGUAAGAAUGCUUUACUGGGAGGUCAUUAUCUGGCAACCCAGGAUUUGUGGGGAUGGCCACAAAUGCACAUACUGACAGAGAUGGAAACAGAGAGCAUCUGUUUGACCUGAGGACACAAACCCUUCGCUGUCCACAAAUUAAAAAA